rnacentral:rRNA from 1 species
UACGAAGGGGGCUAGCGUUGUUCGGAAUCACUGGGCGUAAAGCGCACGUAGGCGGAUCUUUAAGUCAGGGGUGAAAUCCCGAGGCUCAACCUCGGAACUGCCUUUGAUACUGGGGAUCUCGAGUCCGGGAGAGGUGAGUGGAACUGCGAGUGUAGAGGUGAAAUUCGUAGAUAUUCGCAAGAACACCAGUGGCGAAGGCGGCUCACUGGCCCGGAACUGACGCUGAGGCACGAAAGCGUGGGGAGCAAACAGG